rnacentral:rRNA from 1 species
GAUGAACGCUGGCGGCGUGCCUAAUACAUGCAAGUCGAGCGAACGGACGAGAAGCUUGCUUCUCUGAUGUUAGCGGCGGACGGGUGAGUAACACGUGGAUAACCUACCUAUAAGACUGGGAUAACUUCGGGAAACCGGAGCUAAUACCGGAUGAUAUUUUGAACCGCAUGGUUCAAAAGUGAAAGACGGUCUUGCUGUCACUUAUAGAUGGAUCCGCGCUGCAUUAGCUAGUUGGUAAGGUAACGGCUUACCAAGGCAACGAUGCAUAGCCGACCUGAGAGGGUGAUCGGCCACACUGGAACUGAGACACGGUCCAGACUCCUACGGGAGGCAGCAGUAGGGAAUCUUCCACAAAGGGCGAAAGCCUGACGGAGCAACGCCGCGUGAGUGAUGAAGGUCUUCGGAUCGUAAAACUCUGUUAUUAGGGAAGAACAUAUGUGUAAGUAACUGUGCACAUCUUGACGGUACCUAAUCAGAAAGCCACGGAUAACUACGUG